rnacentral:rRNA from 1 species
AUUGAACGCUGGCGGCAGGCUUAACACAUGCAAGUCGAGCGAGCGGCGGACGGGUGAGUAAUGUCUGGGAAACUGCCUGAUGGAGGGGGAUAACUACUGGAAACGGUAGCUAAUACCGCAUACCAUCAGAUGUGCCCAGAUGGGAUUAGCUAGUGGGUGGGGUAAUGGCUCACCUAGCCGACGAUCUCUAGCGGGUCUGAGAGGCUGACCGGCAAAACUGGAACUGGGAAACGGCCCGGACUCCUACGGGAGGCAGCAGUGGGGAAUAUUGCGCAAUGGGGGAAACCCUGACACAGCCAUGUCGCGGGGAUGAAGAAGGCCUUCGGGUUGUAAAGUUCUUUCGGUAGCGAGGCGUUAACUACAGAAGAAGCACCGGCUAACUCCGUGCCAGCAGCCGCGGUAAUAC